rnacentral:rRNA from 1 species
AGCGAACGCUGGCGGCAGGCUUAACACAUGCAAGUCGAGCGGGCGUAGCAAUACGUCAGCGGCAGACGGGUGAGUAACGCGUGGGAACGUACCUUUUAGUUCGGAACAACACAGGGAAACUUGUGCUAAUACCGGAUAAGCCCUUACGGGGAAAGAUUUAUCGCCGAAAGAUCGGCCCGCGUCUGAUUAGCUAGUUGGUAGGGUAAUGGCCUACCAAGGCGACGAUCAGUAGCUGGUCUGAGAGGAUGAUCAGCCACAUUGGGACUGAGACACGGCCCAAACUCCUACGGGAGGCAGCAGUGGGGAAUAUUGGACAAUGGGGGCAACCCUGAUCCAGCCAUGCCGCGUGAGUGAUGAAGGCCCUAGGGUUGUAAAGCUCUUUUGUGCGGGAAGAUAAUGACGGUACCGCAAGAAUAAGCCCCGGCUAACUUCGUGCCAGCCGCCGCCGUAA